UACCGAAGUUUUCCUCGGUAGUUAACUGCAGCCGGUUUCAUAAUUCGACAGUUAACUGCCGAAAGACAUU
rnacentral:pre_miRNA from 1 species